GGCUCUGCCCCUCCCCUUGGUGGCUGGUUGCGGUGGCGGAGGAGCCGCUCUGGGGCUACUAGCUCUUCUUGGCUGCUGCUGCAGAAGGAAUAAGAAAGGUAGCAGCAAGACAGCCGCUGGCUACCUGGGUGUCAACGGAGCCCCUGGGGUCAAUUUAGCUCUGCAGCAAAGGAGCCAUGACGGGUGGGAUCAGCCGGCGAUGCACAACCAGCGGCGGCUACCCAGCAUCCCUGGUGGGAAAUCCAAGAAAAGAGGCAAGGGAGAAGAGGAUGCAGGCACUGGGGCAGGAUGCACAACCCUGUAUGCUGUAGCCACGUGCUCCCCUGUGAGCCCGGGGAGCUCCACGUUCCACCAGCAAGGAGGGAAUUUGGUCUCAGAGGAAGUUGUGUACAGUGAACCCCUCUUCUAAUCCCUGUCCCCCAACUUCCCAGCAGCACCCUGCUCCCAUUGCCUGAGAAUUCCCAGACCUCAGGCUCUGCUCACUCUCAAACCUUUGUCACAGCAAACAGCUCAGUUUUGUUCUUUUCAUCUUGUGGGGUGAGGGGGGUGGGAGGCAGGACUCCUGGAUUCUAUACCCAGAUCUGGGAGGAGA